rnacentral:rRNA from 1 species
AUUGAACGCUGGCGGCAUGCCUUACACAUGCAAGUCGAACGGUAACGGGCCUUCGGGUGCCGACGAGUGGCGAACGGGUGAGUAAUGUAUCGGAACGUACCUUUCAGUGGGGGAUAACGUAGCGAAAGUUACGCUAAUACCGCAUAUUCUGUGCGCAGGAAAGCAGGGGAUCGCAAGACCUUGCGCUGAUUGCGCGGCCGAUAUCAGAUUAGCUAGUUGGUGAGGUAAAGGCUCACCAAGGCGACGAUCUGUAGCGGGUCUGAGAGGAUGAUCCGCCACACUGGAACUGAGACACGGUCCAGACUCCUACGGGAGGCAGCAGUGGGGAAUUUUGGACAAUGGGGGCAACCCUGAUCCAGCCGUGCCGCGUGAGUGAAGAAGGCCUUCGGGUUGUAAAGCUCUUUCGGCCGGGAAGAAAUCGUAUCAGCUAAUACCUGGUGCGGAUGACGGUACCGGCAUAAGAAGCACCGGCUAACUACGUGCCAGCAGCCGCAGUAAGAC